rnacentral:sRNA from 1 species
GCUGGGUGCGGUGGCCCACGCCUGUCAUCCCAGUGGUUUGGGAGGCUGAGGCAGGAGGAUCGUGAGAUCAAAGCCAGCCUCUGCAAGUUAGGGAGGCUCAAGCAAGUUAGCGAGAACCUGUCUCAA